GAUGAAGAACGUAGCAAAAUGCGAUAAGUAAUGUGAAUUGCAGAAUUCAGUGAAUCAUCGAAUCUUUGAACGCACAUUGCGCCCGCCAGUAUUCUGGCGGGCAUGCCUGUUCGAGCGUCAUUUCAACCCUCAAGCACAGCUUGGUGUUGGGACUCGCGUUAAUUCGCGUUCCUCAAAUUGAUUGGCGGUCACGUCGAGCUUCCAUAGCGUAGUAGUAAAACCCUCGUUACUGGUAAUCGUCGCGGCCACGCCGUUAAACCCCAGCUUCUGAAUGUUGACCUCGGAUCAGGUAGGAAUACCCGCUGAACUUAAGCAUAUCAAUAAGCGGAGGA
rnacentral:misc_RNA from 1 species